CAUCAGAUCACUAUAUAAAAAGAAUGUCUUCCUAUUGGUUGUGGUUGGAAAGGUUUGAAAACAUUGAAAUCAGAAUAUACAGGACUUAAGGCAAGCACCAGCUGUAAAGGAAAGAAAAUAUAUUUGCAGUCAAUGGUAGUUCAUUCAUUCCACAGCUAUUUCUUCAAUGUAUUGAACACCAAAUGCAUGCAUAACAACUGCCUAAAAUUAGGAGGAGACACAGUGCAACUUUUAAGGUGAUCCCUUCUCUCUGGGGAGAGUUUACAAUCUUGUUGGAAAGAGAAGUUGCAGAGACGAAUCAGUUCAAUAACAGUCCAAGGCAGUAUGAGAUUAAGUUCUAAACUAUACCAGUAAUAGUCAUUAAUUUCAGAAAACUAAUGUGGGCAAUAGCAGUUGAGGAGCGUUCAGAAGAAAGGAGCUGAAUUUGAGCUGAACUUGAAAUGGGAGGAUGAAGGUGGGAGAGAAAGGCUUUCCAUCAGGAAGAAGUGCAGAAAGCUAAAGAUGUUUGAGGUACAACUAAUUUGGAGUAAUAAGAGGUGGGGUUGGGUGAAUAAGGGGAGGCAUAGUAUUAGGAGAGUUUCUGGUUAGUCAUGGGAGUUUACCGGAAAUUGGGCAAUCACUGGAAUUUCUGAACAACGAAGUGAAUGACAGGUUGAAAUCAGAGUGUUAGUCCACAGACAUUAUACGUGAUAGGGUGAAGAGAGAAGAAAGGUCAGAUAGGAAAUUAUUGCUAGAGUGAACCAUCCAGUUCAAAAGCGCUGGACUGGCAAAGAGCCAGAAGUAAAGCGCGAUGUAGGAAGUUGUGCUCUGGUGACAGACAAGGAAACCUGAAACUUAAGCCAUUUCAAGUGAGGUGACAGACCUUCCAAGAGAAUAACAGCAUCACACAACAGCCACUGAUUUAAUGACCUGCUUGUUCACUGACCAGAUCCUCAAAGUUUCAACUGGGACGUGGUAACUUUUUUAGAUGGAGCAAUGCUUCUUGCCAAUCAUCAUAUACAUACUCAGUGACCUUGCAUGAAGAAACAUCCUGUCUGCAGAAAAGGAGACUGCACCUCAUCUACACAAGGCAGGGCUGAUAAGGUUCCUUGACCUUUAUUUGAUAUUGACAUACAUUUUGGAAGCUAGUAAACAGUGAUUAAAAUAUUCCACAAACAUGAAGUGAUUGUUUAGUUUUCAGCCUGUUCAGUGAAAUGAAGUUUCAGCUGAUUUGGCACCCAACCCAGCAUGUGAUUGUGUUGCUUCCUUCAUGAGUUUCUUUCAGAGCAUGAUGAGGUGGUGAAUAACAGAGGCUCAGAAAUUGGACUCUAUGGUUUUGAAUCCUGCCUUCACAACUUCUGUGUGAUGUUGAACAAAUUACUUAACCUCUCUGACUCUCCAUAAAAUGAGGAUAAUAAUAUCUACUUCACAGGGUUGUUGCAGGGAUAGAAUGAAAAAACUACAUGUAAAUCACUUAGAACUAUGCCUGACACAUAUUUAGUACUUAGUAAAUGCUAGCUACUAUUUAUAUUUUAACAAUAGAAUGAGGCACCACUGUAAACUAUCAUGGUAUGUAAUCCAUCUCACCAAUAAUUUAUGGAUAACUGUUACUUGUUCUUUUGUUAAAAAGUAUUGCAUAUGAUGUCUAUGACAUAUUUGCUUCUUAUAAUAAUGAAACCAGAAAAUUCACUGUGUGUUAUCAAAUGUGAUUGUCUUGAACAAUUACUGAGUAUGAUCUCAAUCAUCAGAGUGGAAAAACGUUACCGUGGAAUCACAUGGGACUCUGAGACUCUCUGAUACACAUGCACCCCUUACAACACCUACACAGUGACAUACAUGCAAAAGGUACUGCUUGCUUCAAUGUCUGCAUGCAAGAACAAACAAGAAAUGUGUGUCUCUGAAAUAAAAUAUUAACUUUUCAUGCCAAUAUAGGCACUUAUUGUUUGUGGGAACAUCAUUUAAUAGAUAAGUAUUAACAGUUUUACAAUUGGUUACUUAGGAUACUGUAUUUUAACUCAGCAUCAGUCAGUUUUUCUGAAAUGUGAUAUAUUUUCUUCCUCCUUUAAUAUUUGUACUAAUAACAAUGGUACCUAACAUUCAUUGACCAAUUACUACAUGCCUGUGCUUUCUUUGUAUUAACUUGGAACAGCCUGAUAAGCUGGAUACUCAUUAUUUCCAUUUUAUAGGUAAGGCACAGAAGUUUGAAAAGCUUGACUAAGUUAAUAGCUAGUGCGUGGUGGAGCCUAGAUUUGGAACAGUAAUCUCUAGCAUCAACUCAGUUUAACCAUCGUACCAUACUAUACACUAAGUUAUAUAUUAGUGUGUUAAAUGAAUAAUGUUCUACAAAAUGCCUGACAGGGGUUUGCAUUUGCCAUUGGUUGAUUUUAAAUCAAGUGAAAAUUAGAAGUGUGACUCUGAGACUAUGUUAAAGUGAACUUUAUAACAUUUAAAAAAUAAAUAAAUUUAUUUAAUUUUUAUUUUUGGCUGCGUUGGGUCUUCAUUGCUACACGCGGGCUUUCUCUAGUUGUGGCGAGUGAGGGCUACUCUUCAUUGCAGUGAGCUUCUCACUGCGGUGGCUUCUCUUGUUGCGGAGCAUGGGCUCUAGGCGCAUGGGCUUCAGUAGUUGUGGCUCACGGGCUCUAGAGCGCGGGCUCAGUAGUUGUGGCGCACGGGCUUAGUUGCUCCGCGGCAUGUGGGGUCUUCCCGGACCAGGGCUUGAACCCAUGUCCCUUGCAUUGGCAGGCAGAUUCUUAACAACUGCGCCACAAGGGAAGCCCGUAUAACAUUUUUGUAAAAUAUUUUAUAUAGAAGUAUACCUUAUCCAGUUAACAUAGAUUUUGGUUUUUUACGCUCUAAGUUGGUUCUUUAAAGUGAAAUUUUUA